GUGCAAGACAUCUAGUUUGGCAUUGACCCUAAUAAUUUCUCUCUCUCAUCAACUACACAGAUUUUUUUUUUUUUUUUUUUUUUUUUUUUUAAUAAACAAAACUUCUGCCAAACUUUCCCAAAAUCAUAUAUAAAUACAAACAUCGCCGGCGCAUCAUCGGAGAAAUUGCACCUGAACAUCCAUUUAACGACGAAUCGAUGUCUACUACCCUUCAAAUCACCGUCACUCUCGCGUUCCCCCUCUUAAUCUCCCUCCUCACAACGUUACCGCCGUUAAUCACCGCUGCCGCAGUCAACGGUAACUCUUCCCUCACCGCUUACGACCUACUCGAGUCCUACGGCUUCCCCGUCGGAAUUCUCCCCAAGGGCAUCACUGGAUACGAUCUCGAUAAAACCACCGGCAAGUUCAACGCAUACCUUAACGGCUCCUGCAGUUUCUCUCUAGAAGGUUCUUAUCAACUAAGGUAUAAAUCCAAGAUCAGUGGGUACAUAGCUAAAAAUAAGCUCACGAACUUAUCUGGUGUUAGUGUAAAAGUUCUAUUUUUGUGGCUCAACAUUGUGGAGGUCGUUAAAAACGGUGAUAAUCUUGAGUUUUCUGUUGGGAUUGCUUCUGCAAGCUUUUCAGUUGACAAUUUCUUGGUUUGUCCACAAUGUGGUUGUGGACUGGACUGCAAUAGUAAUGUGAAAAUUCAAAAGAUUCGAAGCAAUCAUCUUGUCUCUUCGGUUUAGCUGCAUAUCAAAGGAUGGUUGAGUUUGCUGAAAGAGGUCAAAAUGUAAUUGAGAGCACCGUCCAGUCCAGUGAAAACUUGAAUAAGGUCUCAAAUCGCAAAUGUGUUAGUACGCAUUUGACUUCCACGUAAGACAGCAAAAAUAAGAAUGGAGAUUUGAAGAGGGGCAGAGUUUGUACAUGCCAAGAGGCUCUGUUUAAUCAAACAGUGAUUUGAGGUCUAAUUCCUUUGGCGAGAAUGCUAUGCACUUGUAUAGUACAUUGCGUGAGUGUAUCUGUGACCUGCUACCGCAAGAUCUGCUUAUUACCUCCAUCCUCUCUCCUUCUCUUCCAUAGUGUAACUUUUCAGACUUGCAACUCAUUACAAAGAUCAGGUAACAUUGUGCAGUGGACAGAAAGCCUGAAGUGGUCAUUGUCCUGCUUCCUCCUCAUCUGAGUUACAGCGCAAAACUGAAAGUCGAAAACUCCCGUGUUCAUUUACAUUGUUUUUAUGUUUUUAAAAAAAAAUGUAUUUACUACUGUAUCUGACUCUGACAUGCAUUGACAAUCUUCUUGAAAUUGCUGUUUACAGUGCCA